rnacentral:rRNA from 1 species
GAUGAACGCUGGCGGCGUGCCUAACACAUGCAAGUCGAGCGAUCUUCUUCGGAAGAGAGCGGCGGACGGGUGAGUAACGCGUGGGUAACCUGCCCUGUACACACGGAUAACAUACCGAAAGGUAUGCUAAUACGAGAUAAUAUGCUUUUAUCGCAUGGUAGAAGUAUCAAAGCUUUUGCGGUACAGGAUGGACCCGCGUCUGAUUAGCUAGUUGGUAAGGUAACGGCUUACCAAGGCGACGAUCAGUAGCCGACCUGAGAGGGUGAUCGGCCACAUUGGAACUGAGACACGGUCCAAACUCCUACGGGAGGCAGCAGUGGGGAAUAUUGCACAAUGGGCGAAAGCCUGAUGCAGCAACGCCGCGUGAGCGAUGAAGGCCUUCGGGUCGUAAAGCUCUGUCCUCAAGGAAGAUAAUGACGGUACUUGAGGAGGAAGCCCCGGCUAACUACGUGCCAGCAGCCGCAGUAAAAC